rnacentral:rRNA from 1 species
AGAGUUUGAUCCUGGCUCAGGAUGAACGCUGGCGGCAUGCCUAAUACAUGCAAGUCGAACGGGAAACCUUCGGGUUUCAGUGGCGAACGGGUGAGUAACACGUAGGUAACCUGGCCAUGUACCCGGGAUAAUUUCUGGAAACGGAAACUAAAACCGGAUAGGCAGCGGGGAGGCAUCUUCCCGCUGUUAAAGGAGCCUCAAAGCUCUGGACAUGGAUGGACCUGCGGUGCAUUAGCUAGUUGGCGGGGUAACGGCCCACCAAGGCAGCGAUGCAUAGCCGACCUGAGAGGGCGAACGGCCACAUUGGGACUGAGACACGGCCCAAACUCCUACGGGAGGCAGCAGUAGGGAAUUUUCGUCAAUGGGGGGAACCCUGAACGAGCAAUGCCGCGUGUGUGAAGACGGUCUUUCCGGAUUGUAAAGCACUGUUGUAAGAGAAAAACGGCCAUGAUAGGAAAUGAUCAUGGAGUGAUGGUAUCUUACCAGAAAGUCACGGCUAACUACGUGCCAGCAGCAGC